GUCUAUCUUAGUAUGUUGCCAAGAGAUCAAUUGAUUUGGUCUAGCGGGAUAUUCUAAAAAGUAUAUCAUGUUGAGAUAAAGAAAUUCUUGAGAUGAGGAAGAUCAUGAGUAUUACCAUAUUAAUUUUAUUUUAUUGACCGAUUCUAGAUUUGUCUGUGCGACAAGUACAUAAUGAUGAACUCAAAAUUAAGAAAAAGAGAUUAUGAGAAAUAUGAAUGUGAUAAAUGAUCUAA
rnacentral:lncRNA from 1 species